UGCGUAGGCGGCGUUAUAAGUCAGAUGUGAAAGCCCACCGCUUAACGGUGGAACUGCAUUUGAUACUGUAGUGCUUGAAUCAGGCUGAGGUCAGCGGAAUGUGUCAUGUAGCGGUGAAAUGCAUAGAUAUGACAUAGAACACCAAUUGCGAAGGCAGCUGACUAGACCUGUAUUGACGUUGAGGCACGAAAGCGUGGGGAGCGAACAGGAUUAGAUACCCUGGUAGUCC
rnacentral:rRNA from 1 species